GCCUCCCCCCGGGUCACCGCCAGCCCCGCUCGGCAGGAGUGGGAUGGAGCCAGGCUGUCCGUCCGUCCCUCCGUCCGUCCGUCCGUCCGCCCAGGUGCUCGGGCUGCCCCCGACCCCCCCCGACCCAGCCCAAAUUCCCGAUUUUCCCGGCUCCUGCCCCCGCCCUGGCGCACACGGAUCUCCGCUGUGCCCGGAGCAGCCCCCGGCAGCCUGCCAGGGGUGUAAAGCUCCCUCGGGACCGCCGGCGGCCCGGCACCGGACCCAACCUCAGCUUUUUCCCCGCUCACAUCAGCAAACUGCCCGCAGCCUGGCCGCAGGACCUGGAGGAAAUUUCCACAGCCCCAUCGGGAGGCUGCUCUCCGAGUUUUCUCCUCUCUUUGCUGUCCUCCGAGAGCACGUAACACGUACGAGGAGCUAUCAGCUCCGUGCCUCGGCUGCCUGCUUCUAAGGGCUUCGUUAUUUCAUUGCCUGUGGGAAUGGCCUUUUAAUUUGAAAUGUUUGUCAUAGAUUAUAGACUUUUUAAACAAACUUGCACAUGAAACACUUGACUUAGAUCUUUUUUUUUCCCCUCUGUUUGGUGUGGACCUAGCUAAGGAAUUAAACUUCAACCGCUUGGAAGCAAAGCUGGUGUAUCUACAAAUUAUUCAAUGAAAAGAGGAAAAAAAUUGCAAUGAAUAAUAAUCAGCCAUCUGCAGAGCUGGCUGACUAAUAAAAAUGUGUUUCCAAAUAGUAAACAGGCCAAAAUUAAUAACAAAUGCUAUUUGCAAUGAAUUAUUCUAUUAGAUCUUCUCCCAACUUUAUGACAUUUUUCCUCUCUAAGCAAAGAAACUUAUCUCGAAUGUAUGGAUUUCCAAAGCCAUACCCACCCCAGCUGCACGGCAGCCAGAUCACUUCAUCUGAAGUUCGUGAGCCCAAUUCCAACCGCUGUGUCUGGAGCCCUCACCAUACCGCAGUGUUUCAGCAGAGGAAACAAGAAGGGAGAUGUGUGGGAGCGCCGUGUCUGCCACGAGGCUGGGGCUGUGGCGCAGGACUCAUGGUGCCUGCUGCUUUUCUCCUGCAUUGUCCUGGAAAUAAGGGUGAGAAUCUCAGCUUUCCUUUAAAAAAUCACCAGUUGCCUAGGGAAAAGAGGACCAGAGUCUAUUUAAAAGUUUUAGUGCCUAGAAAGCAAUAAGCCAAAUAUAUCUGUAUUUAAAAGAGCCGCACGGUAUUUAAGGCAAUCUUGCGAUUUGUUUCAGAGCCUGACUCAUCGCUCCUGCGUGCUGGGGCCGAAGGCACCGGGGGCUCCAGCAGCCACUCUCCAACAAGGAGGAUGCCUUACCUGCUGGGAAGGGCAAGCUGAAGAAAUCAAGAAGUUUCCUGCCCUGUACCCCACGUCAUUGCAGACUCUGCUAGCACAACUGCAAACAAGAGGCUACAUAGAGGUUUAUUUGCAGACCAGUUUUGUUCUUAGUUUGGGAUGAGUUUCUCUUGGUACCUAGGCCCUUUGCUGAAUGAUGUUUGGUAAAGGUAGAAAAACUGAGCGGAUGAUGUCUUCAUAUCCGCUUCUGAGAAUUUCCACCCUGAUCUGUUUGGCCCUCCUGCCACGAUAACCCCCUGGGGCAUAACGUGGGGUUUUUUUAGAAGCUUGGAGCAAAAGGUGCUUUUCAUUUUACUCAGCCUCUUACACAACUGACUUCACAUUUUUACAGCGGCCUCUUUCCUUCUCCCUUAAAUUUCUCACCCCUUGACCUUUCCACCCAUUUUAACA
ensembl:lncRNA